UACGUAGGGCGCAAGCGUUGUCCGGAAUUAUUGGGCGUAAAGAGCUCGUAGGCGGUCUGUCGCGUCCGUUGUGAAAACUCGAGGCUCAACCUCGGGCUUGCAGUGGAUACGGGCAGACUAGAGUGCGGUAGGGGAGACUGGAAUUCCUGGUGUAGCGGUGGAAUGCGCAGAUAUCAGGAGGAACACCGAUGGCGAAGGCAGGUCUCUGGGCCAUUACUGACACUGAGAAGCGAAAGCAUGGGGAGCGAACAGG
rnacentral:rRNA from 1 species